AAUGAGGUGCCUGAAUAAAGGGUUAUUUUGAUAGAAUAAAUUAUGUAAGACUUUUACCUUCAUUA
rnacentral:tRNA from 1 species